rnacentral:rRNA from 1 species
GUAACGCUGGCGGCGUGCCUUAGGUAUGCAAGUCGAGCGGAUUCCGACGCAAGUCGGAAUGAGCGGCAGACGGGUGAGUAAUGCGCAGGAACCUACCUUCGAUUCAUAGAUAACUGACCGAAAGGUUAGCUAAUAUGUGAUGGUAUCGUAAGAUUAAAGGAUGUAACUAUCCGAUCGAAGAGGGGCUUGCGUCCUAUCAGCUUGUUGGUGGGGUAAUGGCCUACCAAGGCGAUGACGGGUAGCUGGACUGAGAGGUCGGUCAGCCACAGGGGCACUGAGACACGGGCUCCACACCUACGGGUGGCAGCAACCAGGAAUAUUUGGCAAUGGACGAAAGUCUGACCAAGCGACGCCGCGUGGAGGAUGAAGGCCUUAGGGUUGUAAACUCCUUUUGUCCCGACACAUGUCGGGAAGAAUAAGCCUCUACUAACUACGUGCCAGAAGUCUCGGUAAGACGUAGGAGGCAAGCGUUACCCGAAUUUACUGGGCGUAGAGAGUGUGUAGGCGGUUUGAUAAGUCUCUUUUUAAAUGCUACAGCUUAACUGUAGAACUGGAAGAGAUACUAUUUGGCUUGAGGAUUGUUCGGGAUACUGGAACAGUUGGUGUAGCGGUGAAAUGCGUUGAUAUCAACUGGAACACCGAAGGCGAAGGCAAGUAUCUGGAAUUAUCCUGACGCUGAGACACGAAAGCUAGGGGAGCGAAACAGAUUAGAGACCUGUGUAGUCCUAGCCGUAAACAAUGGAUGCUAGCUUCCUCUGAUUUAUCAGAGGAGGCGCAAGCUAACGCGUUAAGCAUCCCGCCUGGGGAGUACGGCCGCAAGGCUAAAACUCAAAGGAAUUGACGGGGACCCGCACAACCAGUGGAGCGUGUGGUUCAAUUCGAGACGAAGCGAAGAACCUCACCAGGACUUGACAUGCAAGCGUUCAACUCUUAUGAAAGUUUGAGUGUCCGCAUGGAGGCUUGCACAGGUGUUGCAUGGCUGUCGUCAGCUCGUGCCGUGAGGUGUUCCCUUAAGUGGGGAAACGAGUGCAACCCCCAUCCAAUGUUACAUAUUCAUUGGAGACAGCUCCGGUGUUUCACCGGAGAGGAAGGAGGGGCGGACGUCAAGUCAGCAUGACCCUUAUGUCCUGGGCUACACACACCCUACAAUGGCGAAUAACAACGGGUUGCAAGCCGGUAACGGCAAGCUAAUCCCUUAAAUUUCGCCUCAGUUCAGAUUGAGGGCUGAAAUUCGUCCUCAUGAAGUCGGAAUUGGUAGUAAUCGCGGAUCAGCAGGUCGCGGUGAAUACGUUCUCGGGUC